UACGUAGGGAGCGAGCGUUAUCCGGAAUCAUUGGGUGUAAAGGGUGCGUAGACGGGAAAGCAAGUUAGUUGUGAAAUCCCUCGGCUUAACUGAGGAACUGCAACUAAAACUACUUUUCUUGAGUGCAGGAGAGGUAAGUGGAAUUCCUAGUGUAGCGGUGAAAUGCGUAGAUAUUAGGAGGAACACCAGUGGCGAAGGCGACUUACUGGACUGUAACUGACGUUGAGGCACGAAAGUGUGGGGAGCAAACAGG
rnacentral:rRNA from 1 species